rnacentral:rRNA from 1 species
UACGUAGGGUGCGAGCGUUGUCCGGAAUUAUUGGGCGUAAAGGGCUCGUAGGCGGUCUGUUGCGUCGGGAGUGAAACUCAGGGCUUAACCCUGAGCUGCGUCCGAAGUACGGGAGGCAGACGUAGAGGUAUGCAGGGGAGAACGGAAUUCCUGGUGUAGCGGUGAAAUGCGCAGAUAUCAGGAGGAACACCGGUGGCGAAGGCGGGUCUCUGGGCCGAAAUUGACGCUGAGGAGCGAAAGCGUGGGGAGCAAACAGGG